rnacentral:sRNA from 1 species
GCCAGGUGCUGUGGCACACACCUGUAAUCCCAACAACUUGGGAGGUUGAGGCAGGAGGAUCGUGGGUUCAAAGCCAGCCUCAGCAGAUUAUUGAGGCAUUUAGCAACUCAGUGAGAACCUGUCUCUA